GUCCCUGUAGCGCAAUGGAUAGCGUGUUGAAAUUCUAAUCCAAAGGUCGAGGUUUCGAAUUCCACCUGGGAUG
rnacentral:tRNA from 1 species